rnacentral:rRNA from 1 species
UACGAAGGGGGCUAGCGUUGCUCGGAAUUACUGGGCGUAAAGGGCGCGUAGGCGGAUAGUUUAGUUGGGGGUGAAAGCCCGGGGCUCAACCUCGGAAUUGCCUUCAAUACUGGCUAUCUUGAGUGUGAGAGAGGUGUGUGGAACUCCGAGUGUAGAGGUGAAAUUCGUAGAUAUUCGGAAGAACACCAGUGGCGAAGGCGACACACUGGCUCACUACUGACGCUGAGGCGCGAAAGCGUGGGGAGCAAACAGG